CCUACGGGUGGCAGCAGUGAGGAAUAUUGGUCAAUGGGCGCGAGCCUGAACCAGCCACGUCGCGUGAAGGAUGACUGCCCUACGGGUUGUAAACUUCUUUUAUAAAGGAAUUAAGUGAGGCACGUGUGCCUUUUUGUCUGUAUUUUAUGAUUAAGGAUCGGCUAACUCCGUGCCAGCAGCCGCGGUAAUACGGAGGAUCCGAGCGUUAUCCGGAUUUAUUGGGUUUAAAGGGAGCGUAGAUGGGUUGUUAAGUCAGUUGUGAAAGUUUGCGGCUCAACCGUAAAAUUGCAAUUGAAACUGGCAGCCUGGAGUACAGUUGAGGUAGGCGGAAUUCGUGGUGUAGCGGUGAAAUGCGUAGAUAUCACGAAGAACUCCGAUUGCGAAGGCAGCCUACUAAACUGCCACUGACAUUGAUGCUCGAAAGUGUGGGUAUCAAACAGGAGUAGAUACCCGAGUAGUC
rnacentral:rRNA from 1 species